CUAUUCGAGAGAGCCACGAGACUCUCCAGCCGAUCCGGUAAUCGACUGGACUUUGUUUUGAUUUAGCAAAGACUAUUUCAAAUUUAGUUAAUGGUUCGAAUACGAUGACACUGUCCCGUGCUAGGGCCGCAGACCUUUCGAACUGCUGCGUAGAUAGACUCGUCUAUAUAGUUACGUAAUUCAUGGUGGUUGGCGAAACGCAUCCUGCGUAUGGGGUUUCGUUACGCGGUAAAGUAAGGUAUUCUCGUGGAACCGUGAGGAAUAUAUCGUAGUUAACAGGAAUAUUGAUUAUCGGCGAGAACGCAAACGAUUUAAAUACGAGGAAGUUGGUCUACGUAAAGCAAAGCACUUUUGCAAAGAUGCGGCGUGAGAAAGAUACGUCGGUGAUCUUGAAAUCUUGAAACCGAAGUCGUCUCCCGACGUGACAUUGGGAAUCCCCUCUACCCUUCAGGUCAAGCAACUCUGCGCAAACAACUUCCCUCGUAUCUGCGCCGUGACGUCUUGGAAGGCGUAGAGAAACAACGAACGCGUGCAAUCGCAGGAGGCGCCGAUAAAUCUCGUGUUACGAGAAACAAUGUAUGCACGUCCCGACAAGAAGAACAAUCGGAAUUUUCAACAAUAAAACGCGCUAUUUUAUCAAGUAUGAACAUUCGACUGAACGCUAUUUUCAUCGGACCGUGUCUUAAAAACAAGAAAACAAGAAAGAAGGUAAUGCAAAGCGAGAUAACGGUUUAAUCACGAUUAUGGGUGAUUAUCCUGCCCUCUUAUCUGCUAUUUAAAUGAUCCGCGAGUGACGAUAAGAUUGCGACAGACUAAUUACGAAAUUUCGAUGGAUCAGCGAAAAUCGGCUGUCCGGACACAAAACUGGACACGAGUAACAUUGUUGCGUCAGUUACGAAUUUCAAUGUAAUAGCUCUAACAAUGCUGAUCCGUCUUUUUGAAAAUCAUAUUGUCUUUGUUGCAUAUAGAAAUAAACGAUGCAAGUGGGAUGUAGAAAAAAAGUAUUUGCCACGUGCAUAAGCUAGGUUCGGUCUACAGAUUUCGAAAGCUGACUUUUGUUAUGAAAUAGAAGUGAACAAUUCUUACGUUAACGUUAUGAAAAGUGUUCAAGAAUGAAAUUUGCAACGUACCUUUUGAAAUGAACCGUUGACCAGUGAUCGAUCGAUUUGCGGAGAACGAGCGAUAUUGUCGUUUAAAGGAAGUAUUCGGUAAUUAAUCGCCGAAGAGAAGUAGAGGAGUGAAUCGUUUAGAAUCGUUGAAUUGAGAAUUUGCAAAAUAAUGAACGAUCAAGAUCACGGGAACUGGACUAAGAAGCGUGAACGUCUUCGCACGCUGUAGUAAAUUGACACUAACCCGUCGCAGCUACAGUCUCAGAAGUAUAUAAAGGUUCCCGAGCCCAUGCUGCAUGAUGUAAUUUUCAACCCGGUUGGAAUAGAGCAGCCGAGAAAUGGUCAUGACACGGCAAGAUUCGAAAACAUUGCGCAAAUUAAAAUGAUCUAGCCAGUGCAAUGAUGUUGACAAUUUUCCUUACGAUAACCACAAUAUCGUUAUCGCGUCAUGUAAUUCGUAUUAUAUCUUCGAUCGCUGGAAAAGCUCAGUAUCAACAACGAUCGCAAUCUGUGCUGAAAUUGCUUCAUAACGAUACGUCGAUGUUUCUUGGCCACAGUCUUUGAGUUUCCUACGUAAUCUGUGAUUGGAGAGAAAUAGUUGAAAAAAUAAGCAACAGGAGAUACAGGUAGAUGAAAAAAUUGAUUCGCAGAUUUGUUUUGGUUGGAUAACAACAUAUAAUUACAAGUUGUGGUGUAAAAUUUUAUAAUUAUUUUGUCAGAACAAAUUACAUAAUUCACGAACUUAUUCCUAAACUAGAUACAUGCUAGAAAUUCCUAAAAACCUUAUCAGUUCAGAACACUGACAAAUGUAUUUCUAAAUGCCAAUAUGUCAUAUUGUGCAGCAUAUUAUAUCAUAGGUUUCUUUCACUGAAUGGAAGCAAAUGUACAGUGCAGUUAUAUUUUGCUAUUUCAAUUUACAUGGAUAAAAAAAAAAUAACUCAAUGAAUCCUUAAUACAAAAGAAUAUUUAAGUGUCAGGAACAAGACAAACCAAUACUUACAGCCGAACUUAAUUAAUAUGUUUUUACUUGUAAUACCCUUAUUCGAUAGAAUAAUCGAUAGAGAUACAGUCAAAUGGCAGUUUCUUGUUCCUUAUAAAUUAUCUUCUCUAGUACUAUUCACAAUUCUUUCAUAUUUGACAACUACAUCAUUCGAAUAAAUUGUUGUUUAUUUAAUUUUUCAUUUAAAAAGAACAAUCUACAGAAAUAGUUAUUUUCCUAAUGAAGAAGUGCAUUGUAAUUAAACUAUUUUGAAUCCACAGAGUAUAUUUUUUUUUGUUCUUCAAUUUUUUAGCACUUGCAUUUUUGUCUUACUUGUAGAAAAAUGAGGUAACUGUUUUACUACCUGCAUCAUUAAAGUAUGUAUAAAUAUUUGGAAUCAUCCUGCUAAAUUGAUUAACUUUAUUUCUUAGUAAUGUACAUAUUCAAUUACUUUAAUGCUUAAGUGAAACCUCAGCGAUUGUGUUGGACAUCUUUGGAAGGAAACCAAAUUUUUUAUCUCUAACCGAGUCUUCAAUAGUGUUAUAUAGUAAUUUAGGGCUGUGCACGAAAAUUCAUUUCUCAAACGUGCAGUACUUCACUUUAAACACUAACAAGGUUUAAUUUAUUCUUUGAAUUGGGCCUAUGUAAUGAUCAGUUGAAUGUUAAACUGUAUCACUUUGUUAUUCGCAGUAGUUUCUUUCCUUCUCCACUUCCUGUCCUCGACUGUUACAAGGGAUCUUACCCUCAUAUAUUUUUUAAGUCUUCUGGUAAAUCAUUCUUAGGAUGUUUGUUUUCAAAGUGUUGCUUAUACGUCUUUGGGUCUGGCAUCUGUGCCUGCAAACACAUUAAAUAGUAAAGAUUAAAUUCAUAAAUUUAUAUAAGAUAAUCAUAAAUCUUAAAUCUGUUAAUAAACUUACUUUACAAACUGUGCAUACAUGCACUAAAGCUUUCUGUGCUGCCUUUUUCUGAUCAUUGGCACUGUGUCCUUGUUGUUUUUUCACUUUUGCAGCCUUUUCUGCAGCCUUAGCUUGCGAUUGAAUUCUCUGUUGUCCACGAGCCAUUCUGCAAAAAAAGAUUCUAUUAUUCCAUCAAACCUUAACACGGAAGCUAACUUUUCACUUAAAAAUAAAAAUUCCUCGAGUUCCAUUAAACUGUGACAAUUGCAUUUAAUGUUUCGUGCUAAUUUUAAUACAAAAAUAAAUAAAAAUGUCAUCACUUAUAUUAACAAUCUUACUUGUUUGAAGGAUUCAAUGAUUGUACUAACAAACUUUCAAUAAACAGAAUAAGAAAGAAAAAGGC